GGGUGGAGUUUAUGGCCUGUACUGCAGCCCCACCAGGGGGGCGAUCAGAGAGCCUGUCGCUUCACUUUCAGGAUGUGCAAGGCACACCAGGUUGUAACAUUUCCGUUGUGAUGUGUUUCACAGGUGCGCACUUUCUUCACUGAGGUGUUGAACGAAGCUGAGCGAGAGCGUCUGUGUCAGAACAUGGCCGGCCAUAUGAAAGGAGCUCAGCUGUUUAUUCAGAAGCGCGCGGUAUGAUCUUUUAAUUUUUUUAUUUUGUUUUGGUCCUGUGAGUUUCUUAGUCAUGCAAACUAAUCAAACUUCUCUUUAGCAGUUAGGGAUUAUGUGAACAUUCCUGGGGGGGAAUGCUUGAUUUCAGAUGAUUCAGAAUUUUGUGAUUUUUUUUUUUUUUUUUUUUUUUUGCAGGUGCAAAACCUUAUGGCUGUUCACCCGAUUAUGGCACUCGUGUUCAAACUCUCCUGGAUAAAUACAACUCGGAAGGGAAAAAGAACACUGUUCAUGUUUAUACUCGUGGUGGAGCGUCCGCUGUGGCUGCAGCUUCUAAGAUGUGAUUCAAAGUGCUGCCUCUCUGCACACACACAUAUAAACAUAUUCAUUCUCUCAUAGAGUGUGAUAUAGAGUCAUUUUGCUUAAUUCAUUCCUUGUGUGCUGUAGAAAUAUGGACAUCAUAUCUAAUAUGGUCAAUUCACAACACAAGUGGUAUUAGCAAAUGCAGCGCUGAUUCUUAAAUCAUGAUUAAUGCCUUCAAACCAGAUGGAUGCUUUUGAUGCAUAUACGUAAGCUUGAGUUUAUCCAAACUAAAUCAGUCUGAUAUUUCUGCAUUUUGGUGGUGUGCAAAAUGUAGAAUAGCCAAAAAUAAUCUGAGAAUGGAUACAAAUGUGGCUACUGAUGCCGUUUAAUAUUAAAUAAGAGAAAUUUAAUAUUUCUGUCCCUUUUGCCUUUAACUGAAUAUAAUUCAGUUCUGAUAAUACGAAUGUAACACCUUUUGUCAUUUUGUAAUUAAUAAAUAUGAAUAUUGAGCUCUAUGACCGAGUUGUUUUAUUUGCUCUGGUUGUUUUAUUUAUCUCUUUCUUUAAAAAUAAAAUGUGAGCAUGAGAUUUAAAAGCUACAAUGGAGGUAAAUUAGUAAACUAUACAUUUUAGGUUGUUACUUCCACAAGAGACAAGCAGCAUGGCUUCUAAAGACUCAAAAUAUUGCAUACUGUUAAAAAAAAAAAAAAAAAAAAAACUUUAGUGACUAACUCCUUUAGUUGUUGUUUUUUUUUCUGUAAGUGCUAAUACAGUAGAGGGGCGCCAUUUCCUUACACAAGAACCCCAAUGCCUAAUAUUUUAUUAAUUAAUUAUUAUUAAUUUUUACAAAUUGAUUUUUUUUUUUUUUUUUUUUUUUAUGUACAGCUUGUAGCACACAUGCAUCCUGAACAUUUGAGCUUUGGUGCUCCCGA
rnacentral:lncRNA from 1 species